AACGAACGCUGGCGGCAGGCUUAACACAUGCAAGUCGAGCGCCCCGCAAGGGGAGCGGCAGACGGGUGAGUAACGCGUGGGAAUCUACCCAUCUCUACGGAAUAACGCAUGGAAACGUGUGCUAAUACCGCAUACGUCCCUCGGGAGAAAGAUUUAUCGGAGAUGGAUGAGCCCGCGUGGGAUUAGCUAGUUGGUGGGGUAAAGGCCUACCAAGGCGACGAUCCAUAGCUGGUCUGAGAGGAUGAUCAGCCACACUGGGACUGAGACACGGCCCAGACUCCUACGGGAGGCAGCAGUGGGGAAUAUUGGACAAUGGGCGCAAGCCUGAUCCAGCCAUGCCGCGUGAGUGAUGAAGGCCCUAGGGUUGUAAAGCUCUUUCACCGGUGAAGAUAAUGACGGUAACCGGAGAAGAAGCCCCGGCUAACUUCGUGCCAGCCGCCGCCGUAAUAC
rnacentral:rRNA from 1 species